CCUGGGGACAGAUCCUGCAAGAGGUGCUCCUGGGGGUGGUGCUGGCAGAGGAUGGCUCUAAUGUGUAUGCUGCAAGAGGGUAUCUCCCCAAGGAUGGCCCUGUGCUGUGCAGAACUAUUAGGGUUGUGCCAGAGGGAAAUCCAUUACUUUAGAGCCAUCAGAGCAACAAAAGGCUUUGCUUUUUUUUUUUUUUUUUUUGCCAUUUUCUGUAUCUGCCCUUGAACUACUGGAGAAGCAAUAAACGCACUUAAGAGAAACAACUGCAUGGAAGGAAGCAGUAAUUUCCAUAAAGCAGUGUCAGAUGGGCCCUGCUGCAAACACAGCAAUGGGCAGAGCCAGGAUGAGACCCACCGUGGGGUGAAGCAGCACAACAACACAGGUACUGGGAUUUCCACCACACACACUGCUCUGAGGCCACUGUGUACUGAUAAGCAUUGCUUUAUGAAGUGCAAUUGCAUACUUUUGUUUAGGAGAUUCUCCUUCAAAUGCAGCUACAGCAGCUCUGCCCAUUCAGCCUUCCUGAAGGCCUCUCGCUGCAGACAGAAGUGGUGACUCCUGUACUUAUUUUCUAUUGCUGCCUUAUCUUUGGCAUCUCAGCUGUGACUUUUACUGUUUUUUUCCACUGGUUUCAUCAGAGUGCAGUAAAAGUGGAUGUUUGUUGGGCUUCAGCUCUGCUAAUGAUUCUUGAUCUGCGUGGUGCAGAUGAGGAGAGCCCAGCCUUGAUGAGAAAAUGGCAAGCUAAGUAGGCUAACAAAACAGCAGCAGCAAGAAACUGGAUCAGCUCCGCUCAGUGAAGUUUUCCUGCUUCAACAGGGGGAAAAAAAAUCUCUUUCCCUGAAGUCUUUCUUACAAAUACCAAACUGCAAAGGCUGCUCCCUCCGGCCGCUUGCACAAUGCUCCUUGGGCUUCAGUGCACUCAGCCUAAUGUGCAAAGGCCCUUGGUGUGAUGGUUUUGGGGCAGCAACGCAG